CAAACGGCUCUUUUAGGAGCCACCACAGUUUUCAAAAGUGAUGAUC
rfam:Nematostella vectensis strain CH2 x CH6 NEMVEscaffold_3951_Cont46612, whole genome shotgun sequence.